UGUGACAAGAUUUGUCUCUUCCAUGGU
rnacentral:piRNA from 1 species